GACGUAGGGUGCGAGCGUUGUCCGGAUUUAUUGGGCGUAAAGAGCUCGUAGGCGGCUCGUCGCGUCGACCGUGAAAACCCGCAGCUUAACUGCGGGCUUGCGGUUGAUACGGGCGGGCUAGAGUUCGGUAGGGGAGACUGGAAUUCCUGGUGUAGCGGUGAAAUGCGCAGAUAUCAGGAGGAACACCGGUAGCGAAGGCGGGUCUCUGGGCCGAUACUGACGCUGAGGAGCGAAAGCGUGGGGAGCGAACAGG
rnacentral:rRNA from 1 species